rnacentral:rRNA from 1 species
AUACGGAGGAUGCGAGCGUUAUCCGGAUUUAUUGGGUUUAAAGGGUGCGUAGGCGGCCUUGUAACUCAGCGGUGAAAUUUUGCAGCUUAACUGUAAAAGUGCCGUUGAUACUGUGAGGCUAGGUUUUGGUUGCUGUGGGUGGAAUGUGUGGUGUAGCGGUGAAAUGCUUAGAGAUCACACAGAAUAUCGAUUGCGAAGGCAGCUCACAAAGCCAAGAUUGACGCUGAGGCACGAAAGUGUGGGGAUCAAACAGGAUUAGAUACCCUGGUAGUCCACACUGUAAACGAUGAUUACUAGCUGUUUGCGAUACAAUGUAAGCGGCUGAGCGAAAGCGUUAAGUAAUCCACCUGGGGAGUACGUUCGCAAGAAUGAAACUCAAAGGAAUUGACGGGG